UGGGGAAUUUUGGACAAUGGGGGCAACCCUGAUCCGGCAAUGCCGCGUGUGUGAAGAAGGCCUUCGGGUUGUAAAGCACUUUUGUCCGGAAAGAAAACGCCGUGGUUAAUACCCGUGGCGGAUGACGGUACCGGAAGAAUAAGCACCGGCUAACUACGUGCCAGCAGCCGCGGUAAUACGUAGGGUGCAAGCGUUAAUCGGAAUUACUGGGCGUAAAGCGUGCGCAGGCGGUCCGCUAAGACAGAUGUGAAAUCCCCGGGCUUAACCUGGGAACUGCAUUUGUGACUGGCGGGCUAGAGUAUGGCAGAGGGGGGUAGAAUUCCACGUGUAGCAGUGAAAUGCGUAGAGAUGUGGAGGAAUACCGAUGGCGAAGGCAGCCCCCUGGGCCAAUACUGACGCUCAUGCACGAAAGCGUGGGGAGCAAACAGGAUUAGAUACCCUGGUAGUCCACGCCCUAAACGAUGUCAACUAGUUGUCGGGUCUUCAUUGACUUGGUAACGUAGCUAACGCGUGAAGUUGACCGCCUGGGGAGUACGGUCGCAAGAUU
rnacentral:rRNA from 1 species